rnacentral:tRNA from 1 species
GGGGGUUUAGCUCAGCGGUGUAAAGUACCUGCUUGGCAAGCAUGAGGUUACGAGUUCAAUUACUGGUUACCACCC